rnacentral:rRNA from 1 species
UACGUAGGGGGCGAGCGUUGUCCGGAUUUACUGGGCGUAAAGAGCGUGUAGGCGGCCACGCAGGUCCGUUGUGAAAACUGGAGGCUCAACCUCCAGCUGUCGACGGAAACCGUGUGGCUAGAGUCCGGAAGAGGAGAGUGGAAUUCCUGGUGUAGCGGUGAAAUGCGCAGAUAUCAGGAAGAACACCAAUGGCGAAGGCAGCUCUCUGGGACGGUACUGACGCUGAGACGCGAAAGCGUGGGGAGCGAACAGG